GAAAAUGGAGAUUUAAGUUGGUCACUAGUAGAAGUUUUAUCUUCCUUAGGAUCAUACCCAAUUCCUUUUCUAUUGUUCUGACUGACUCCAUAAAUCAUGGAUGCCAUUACACUCCUUCCUAUCCCAUUUUUCAGAAACUUUUGAAAGGCCUUUUCGUAUUUAUAAAUUAUCGUAUUUGAAGUUUGUGGAGCUUGAGAUAACGCUUCUUCUAGUUUUAAACAAUUUUUCUUUGUUGCAUCUUUUAGUGAUGUUAA
rnacentral:lncRNA from 1 species